UUUUAAAAAAAAUUAUCUCUAAUUGUUUAGUGAUAAUUAGGAUAUUAUUUUUUUAUUUGUAAUAUUUAAGAGAAUUAUUUAGUUUUAUUUAUGUUUAGCCAUAUAAGUAAACUUAUGUGCUUAUAAUAGAUAUCUCUCGUAUGAAUAAACAAUUCAUAUUUUUUUAUAUUUUUAUCCUUCAGAUUUCUAUGGUUAUUUGAUCUCGGUGAUCAUAUCCUGUAGCUUGGUGUUGCAAUCCGAUUUUUCAAUAGAAUAUUGCUAUUUGUUAAUUUCUUAUAAGUG
rnacentral:lncRNA from 1 species